rnacentral:lncRNA from 1 species
GCCGCUGCCAAAACUGAGGUCUGAUGUGUGCUGUGUGUGCACUUCUGCAUAUGCUGCAUUUGCAUAUGUUAUUCCUGGUUUAAGGCUGAAUAAUGGAUUCAGGUUCUGAGCAGGAGCAACUCUACAGAAGUGAUUAGCCAGGCGAUGCUCAGUUCUGGGCUCAGAAAGUGAAGAGCGUCACCACCUAAAAAGCAAAGUAAAUUAAUUCCACGGUGUUAAAACUAAUUACAAGUAAACCCGAGAGAGCCAACGAUGGGAAUAAUGUGAAAUCCAGGAUUUGUUUCAGGAAGGGUCCACGGCGGAGAGGAGCCAGCAGCAAGGGUGGAAAUAAAAAGUAGAGCCCAAUCUGGACUGUCGGAAGUGUAAGACUCAUCCUAAACUGAAGAAGGAGCCAACAAACGUUGAAAGAAGACAGAGUGGGGCACGAGCCUGGGGAUGCUAGCUGGAUCCUCUGGAGGACAGCCCGGAGAUGCAGGGACCAGACACAAGCCCGCACAUCUGGAAGUCACUGCAGUGAUGUGAUCUAGAACAGAGGCUAAGAGCUUGGAGAGGAGUGACAGAGGCCAAGGUCAGGUGAGAGGUCUACUGACUGGAAGAGGGAGAGGAAGUCAGGACAAUGGACAGGGUCACGGCAGCGCGCCUGAGGCAUCUGGGGCGCAUCUUGCUUAUUAAACAAUGAUGCAAGGACCUGGCUAUUUCUGCCAGAAGCUCUGUGGGUGAGUCCACCAAACUGCUGGGGUGGAGAACCACUGAUGUUUGGGGCCAAGGUGGCUGAAGUGGGCUCUGAACUGAGGCAAAGAGCAGGGAAGAAGAGGUCAUUGGAGGAAGCCUGCUGGGCUGAGUUUGCAGUGCCUCCAGCACAUCCUUCUGGAGAGGUUGGUUCAUCCACAAGAGUGGAGGAGCCACCUUCACCAGGAAGAGCUUCUGUCAAGGUAGAGAUGGCAUCUGUCCUAGGAAGCUCAGGCUGCUGUGAAAAAAUACCAGACACCAAGUGGCUUAAAAAGCAGGCAUCUCUUUCCUUACAGUCCUGAGGCCCUGCAGUUCAAGAUCAAGAUGUGCUCAUAGCUGCUGUCUACUGAGACCCCUCUCCCUGGCUUUCGGGCAGUGAUUUCUUGCUGUGCCCUCACGUGCCCGCAUUCCUGGCGUCUCUUUUUGUCCUAAUCUCCCCUUCUUAUGAGGACAUCCUUCGGAUCAGAUUAGGGCCCACCCUGAUGGCCUCAUUUUAGCUUAAUCGUGUUCUUAAAGGCCUUAUCUCUAAAUACAGUCCAUUCUGAGAUACCAGGUGUUGAAGUGGGGAGGCAUAUAAUUCAGCUGUAAAUGCUUCUUCGUGGUGAUGGGCAAAUGUCAGCUUUGCCCACUGAGCCCUGAAGGAACCACCGGUCCACAGGUCCCAUCUGAUAAGGAGACCUUCUAGUUUGGGGGCAAGGGGGUGGGUCUUGCUGGGUUAACCUCCCUGUAGCCCACCUCCCCCAGACCAUGGAUGGAUCGACGCUUGCUGUGUGUCUGAUGAACCAUCUCAUUUCAUCCUCACACCAGCCAGCAUGCACUAUCUGGCAUCACUCUCUCUGUUUCUAAGAUGAAAACAGGUUUGGCAUGAAGGUGUGACCUGCUAGAGGUCCCCCUGCAGGGAGACCUUGACCUUGGUUCAUCUGGACUCUCCAGAGCCCGUGACCUUAACCCCGUACCGUACAGCUUCUCCUCGAAUUAUUUGAACCAGAAUUUCUUUGGCUUAGAAACAUCUCUGAUUCUUUUAGAACUAAAAGUUCUUAAGAAUUCACAGGUCAAGGAGGUGACCUUCUGUCAAAGGUUUCAAACUCUUUCUUAUCCCUGUGACUCUGAAAACCCUUCACAAUGUCGUAGAUGUGACGAUGGGUGGCUGGGACGUUCUCUGGUUGGCCUCACAGCAGGGUCAUUCCCGGUCUUCUCAGGAGCCCCAACAGCAAGAGAGAGAAGCAAAGGAGAGAUAAUGGCCCCAGGGGCGGCACAGAAAAGAGGCGGCAAUGACCGGGGAAGGGUAUUUUGAUUUCUGUCUCCCAGCAACACCCAGGGGACUGUUCCAGAGAAUGAACUGAGGUGAGUAAGUUAUGUGGUUCAGGAGUUGCAAAAGUGGUCCAUGCCUGGUGGUGCUGGCAUAGACGUUGAGGGAGUAGAGAAAUCUCCCUGGGCAUCACAGCAUGGACGUGAGGCAAACAGCAUCCAAGGAGUCAACACAAACAUCUAUAUAUUUUUUUAAUUUUUUUGUCUUUUUCAGGCCACUCUUGCAGCAUAUGGAAGUUCCCAGGCUAAGGAUCAAAUCAAAGCUGCAGCUGCCUGCCGACACCACAGCCACAGCAACACCAGAUCCAAGUGUCGUCUGCGACCUACACCACAGCUCAUGGCAACACCGGAUCCUUAACCCACUGAGCGAGGCCACAGAUCAAACCUGCAUCGUCAUGGAUACUAGACGGGCUUGUUACCGCUGAGUCACAAUAGAGCCUCCCAAACAUCCUUAUCUUGGUCACCAGCAGCCAGUCACUUUCAACCAUAGAACUGACCCCUUGGUGGAAGACGGAUGGUUUGCCAACUUCAUAUAAGAGACAUCACUACUGGAGUUCCCUGGUGGCCUAGUGGGUUAAGGAUCCAACGUUGUCACUGUGGUGGCAUGUGUUUGAUCCCUGGCCCAGGAACUUCUGCAUGCUGUGGGGGCAGCCAAAUGAGAAAAAAAACAAAAAAAA